UGCAAGUCGAACGGUAACGACACUAGCUUGCUAGUGGUCGACGAGUGGCGGACGGGUGAGUAACGCGUAGGAAUCUACCUAGUAGUGGGGGAUAGCCAAGGGAAACUUUGGGUAAUACCGCAUACGAUCUAAGGAUGAAAGGGGGCCUCUCUUUGAAGCUCUCGCUAUUAGAUGAGCCUGCGUAAGAUUAGCUUGUUGGUGGGGUAAUGGCCCACCAAGGCGACGAUCUUUAGCUGGUCUGAGAGGAUGAUCAGUCACACUGGAACUGAGACACGGUCCAGACUCCUACGGGAGGCAGCAGUCGGGAAUAUUGGACAAUGGGGGAAACCCUGAUCCAGCCAUGCCGCGUGUGUGAAGAAGGCCCUAGGGUUGUAAAGCACUUUUAGUAGUGAGGAAGGCUCAGUAGUUAAUACCUACUGGGAUUGACGUUAGCUACAGAAAAAGCACCGGCUAAUUUCGUGCCAGCAGCCGCGGUAAUACGGAGGGUGCAAGCGUUAAUCGGAAUUACUGGGCGUAAAGCGCGCGUAGGCGGCUUGGUAAGUUGGAUGUGAAAGCCCCGGGCUCAACCUGGGAACUGCAUUCAAAACUGACUGACUAGAGUAUGGUAGAGGGUGGUGGAAUUUCCUGUGUAGCGGUGAAAUGCGUAAUAUCGGAAGGAACACCAGUGGCGAA
rnacentral:rRNA from 1 species